UACGUAGGGGGCUAGCGUUGUCCGGAUUUAUUGGGCGUAAAGAGCGUGUAGGCGGCCAAGUAGGUCCGGUGUGAAAACUCGAGGCUUAACCUCGAGAUGUCAUCGGAAACCAUUUGGCUAGAGUCCGGAAGAGGAAAGUGGAAUUCCUGGUGUAGCGGUGAAAUGCGCAGAUAUCAGGAAGAACACCAAUGGCGAAAGCAGCUUUCUAAACAAACAUUGACGCUGAGGCACGAAAGCGUGGGGAUCAAACAGG
rnacentral:rRNA from 1 species